rnacentral:rRNA from 1 species
UGGGGAAUUUUGCACAAUGGGGGAAACCCUGAUGCAGCAACGCCGCGUGAGUGAAGAAGGAUUUCGGUUCGUAAAACUCUGUUGUUAGGGAAGAAAAAAUGUAUAGUAACUAUAUACAAAAGAGACGGUACCUAACCAGAAAGCCACGGCUAACUACGUGCCAGCAGCCGCGGUAAUACGUAGGUGGCAAGCGUUGUCCGGAAUUAUUGGGCGUAAAGCGCGCGCAGGUGGUUUAGAAAGUCUGAUGUGAAAGCCCACGGCUCAACCGUGGAGGGUCAUUGGAAACUAAUAAACUUGAGUGCAGGAGAGAAAAGUGGAAUUCCUAGUGUAGCGGUGAAAUGCGUAGAGAUUAGGAGGAACACCGGUGGCGAAAGCGGCUUUUUGGCCUGCAACUGACACUGAGGCGCGAAAGCGUGGGGAGCAAACAGG